UACGGGGGGGGCAAGCGUUGUUCGGAAUUACUGGGCGUAAAGAGCUCGUAGGUGGCCAACUAAGUCAGACGUGAAAUCCCUCGGCUUAACCGGGGAACUGCGUCUGAUACUGGAUGGCUUGAGUUCGGGAGAGGGAUGCGGAAUUCCAGGUGUAGCGGUGAAAUGCGUAGAUAUCUGGAGGAACACCGGUGGCGAAGGCGGCAUCCUGGACCGACACUGACGCUGAGGAGCGAAAGCCAGGGGAGCAAACCGGG
rnacentral:rRNA from 1 species